GUUUGCACUUGUCGGGGAAGGAUGAGAACCUUCGAUUAAGGUUCGACUCGAGCGAAAGCGAGAGAACGUUGCCAACGGCAACGGCCCGUAGGGUGAGGAGCGAAGCGACGAAUAAUCCUUCCCCCACCACCA
rnacentral:sRNA from 2 species